rnacentral:misc_RNA from 1 species
GUUUCAACUACUGUUAAAGGUGUAAAGCAGGAUUUAGAAAACAGUUUGAUUUUAUGAAUUCUGCAGUUGAUGACAGAUCAUGGGGUUCAAUGCUGUUGACUACUCUCGAUCACUGUUCUGGAACAGACCAUGAGGUUGCCCGAUGAGUCCUUACUAAGUGUCGUCACUGUCCAAGCCUUCAGAGUUCUGGCCUUCUGUUAGUCCAUCACCGUCGUCGCUACACUUUGUCCUUAAGAAAGAUAUUUCACCCUCCCUAACGGAUCUCUCCUCAUAGUCCGACGUUGUCAUACCGACAGUAACCGGAAACUAACUCUAAUGCUGCUAACUCUCUCC